CUCUUCUUUUUCUUUUGUGUUUGUUUGUUUGUUGAAUUUUCAUGUUUUUCGGCGUGGCCAUGCCCCUCUGUUUUGAGUUUUGCUUGUGAGUUUUGAGUUCAAAUUUUCGUUGUGUUUUUAUUUUCUGUUUCUGUUUUCAUUUUUUUACUGACAUGUUUGUAUUCGCCUUCUUCUGUUUGUGUUCUAUGUUUUCCUGUGUUUGAAUUCUCUUAUUUUUUCAGUUUUCUUGGUGUUUUGUGUAUUUUCUUCCUGUAGGUGGUGAUAUUUUUAUGGGGCAUGGACGCAGGCAACAGCAAUGAGAACUGUACAUUCAACAGAGUGAUUAAUUGGAGAUGCGGCCACAAAAUACUCAGUGCAAUGAGGUGAAAACUCAAUGGUCAGUCGUCCAGAAAGGGUUCCACCAUGGGAAAUUGAGCCAUUUGUGGCUCCAGUUUCACUGAAUCCUUUGCCUGCACCGAGGAGCAAGCGACCUAGAGCAAAUACAAUUCAAGUGUCUCCAGAUUUAUCAAUUCUGGGUAGAAGUUUCAAUAGAUUUAUCAGACUAACAUUUAAAUGUAAAGUUGGAGAUCCACAAUUGCCAUUUCCAAGUAUCAUAAUUUGCAACUCAGGCCUCUGAUGAUUGUAUGUAGAUUCCCACAUUUACUAGGGUUUUGCAAGGUCAAGAGGCAAGGACCUUGGGAUCUGGUGACAGUGAUGCAGAAAUCACACAUAGUACAAUGAUGUGUGGAUCCAAAUUGGAAGACUUUACAGCAGAUGGUCUAGAAGCGUAAGAAGAGUAGGAACUAAAAACUGGUUGCAUUUGCUGAAGAACCAAUUGCACUUAGCUGAUGUUUUCUCUAGUCUUCAGGGUACAGGCACUAUAAAAUUUGAUACAAACAGAUGAAAAAUAAAUAAAUGCUUAGUGCAAUCUAGACCAGGUACAUAAGCAGUGAGGAGGAGAGGAAAAGAACAUAACAGUACAUCUCAUCAGGUACCAACAUUUAAAUUUGUAUAUCCCAAGCACCAAACUUAGAUUGAGUAGUAAAAUUUCCUUCCAUAAUUAUACUUUUAACUGCUUUGGUUCAUAUAGAUUUAUUUAAUUCAAGGUUAAACUUUUUAAAGUAGUCCACCAUAUUUAACUCUUCAUUCUCUUAAUUUAACCGCUUUGGUUAAUUUAACUCCUUUGGUUCAUAUAGAUUUAUUUAAUUCAAGGUUAAACUUUUAAAAGUAGUA